GACGAACGCUGGCGGCGUGGCCUAAUACAUGCAAGUCGAGCGAGCUUGCCUAGAUGAUUUUAGUGCUUGCACUAAAUGAAACUAGAUACAAGCGAGCGGCGGACGGGUGAGUAACACGUGGGUAACCUGCCCAAGAGACUGGGAUAACACCUGGAAACAGAUGCUAAUACCGGAUAACAACACUAGACGCAUGUCUAGAGUUUGAAAGAUGGUUCUGCUAUCACUCUUGGAUGGACCUGCGGUGCAUUAGCUAGUUGGUAAGGUAACGGCUUACCAAGGCAAUGAUCGGUAGCCGGACUGAGAGGUUGAACGACCACAUUGGGACUGAGACACGGCCCAG
rnacentral:rRNA from 1 species